rnacentral:misc_RNA from 1 species
AGGCANCAACUCGCGAGACUAGCAAAUCCCAUAAACCGUGGCUCAGUUCNGAUCGUAGGCUGCAACUCGCCUACGUGAAGUAGGAAUCGCUAGUAAUCGCAGGUCAGCAUACUGCGGUGAAUACGUUCCCGGGCCUUGUACACACCGCCCGUCACACCAUGGAAGUUGGCCAUGCCCGAAGUCGUUACUCCAACCCUUGUGGAGGAGGACGCCGAAGGUGGGGCUAAUGACUGGGGUGAAGUCGUAACAAGGUAGCCGUACCGGAAGGUGCGGCUGGAUCACCUCCUAACAGGGAGACAACAAAAUGUUAAAUAUUAAUUUUGUCACCUUAGGUCGAUCGGUAUCUCACAUUCUUAUUAACUUAUUAAGAAUUUUAUUUCCUAAGUUUUUUCUAGGUCACACCCAUAAUUUUCCCUGGGCCAUUAGCUCAGGUGGUUAGAGCGCACCCCUGAUAAGGGUGAGGUCCCUGGUUCAAGUCCAGGAUGGCCCAUAUCUCUAUGUUGGGGGUAUAGCUCAGUUGGUAGAGCGCCUGCUUUGCAAGCAGGAUGUCAGCGGUUCGAGUCCGCUUACCUCCACUGAUUACCACCUCUUCCAUAAUUUAUAGAAGGGAAAUUUUUGAGUUUUGAUCAAAAUCUGAACGAAUCUAGCUUCCUAAUAAUGAUAUUAAGAUGCUGGACUCAUUGAAUUAAUUUUCAUUGUUUUCAGAGAACCUUGACAACUGCAUAGAUUAUUUUUUUAAAGACAAUAAGCAUCUUUAAUGAUGCAGAUUUAUUAUUUGUGCGAAUGCAUUAAAUAACAAUUCUAUUAAGCUGAUGCUUCAAAUUUUGAAGUUAUUGGUCAAGCUACAAAGGGCUCACGGAGGAUACCUAGGCACACAGAGGCGAUGAAGGACGUGGUUACCUGCGAUAAGUCUCGGGGAGUUGGAAGCACACUUUGAUCCGGGAAUUUCCGAAUGGGGCAACCCUUAAUACGGCCAACUGAAUAUAUAGGUUGGUGCGAGCUAACCCAGCGAACUGAAACAUCUUA